GACGAACGCUGGCGGCGUGCUUAACACAUGCAAGUCGAACGAAGUGGCGAACGGGUGAGUAACACGUGAGUAACCUGCCCUCUUCUUUGGGAUAACGGUCGGAAACGGCUGCUCAUACUGGAUAGUGGGGGAUGGGCUCGCGGCCUAUCAGCGUGUUGGUGGGGUGAUGGCCUACCAAGGCUUUGCCGGGGAACCGGCCUAAGAGGGUGACCGGUCACAUUGGGACUGAGAUACGGCCCAGACUCCUACGGGAGGCAGCAGUAGGGAAUCUUCCGCAAUGUACGAAAGUCCGACGGAGCAACGCCGCGUGAGUGAGGACGGCCUUCGGGUGGUAAAGCGCUGUUAUGACGGUUCCGGUACCGGAAUAGAAAGCCACGGCUAACUACGUGCCAGCAGCCGCGGUAAUAC
rnacentral:rRNA from 1 species